rnacentral:rRNA from 1 species
GAUGAACGCUGGCGGCGUGCGUAACACAUGCAAGUUGGACGACGGUAUCAAGAAGUGGUAACACGGAUUGAUAUACGGAGUAGCGGACGGGUGAGUAAAGCAUGAGAAGCUGUCCUACGGAGGGGGAUAACGUUCGGAAACGGACCCUAAUACCCCAUAGUCCGAGAGGUUAAAGGCAGAGAUGUGCCGUAGGAGGGGCUCGUGUCCUAUCAGCUGGUUGGUGAGGUAAGGGCUCACCAAGGCGACGACGGGUAGCCGGCCUGAGAGGGUGACCGGCCACACUGGAACUGAGAUACGGUCCAGACUCCUACGGGAGGCAGCAGUGGGGAAUAUUGGGCAAUGGGAGGAAUCCUGACCCAGCGACGCCGCGUGAACGAAGACGGCCUUCGGGUUGUAAAGUUCUUUUAUGUGGGAAGAAGGAAGUGACGGUACCACAUGAAUAAGCCCCGGCUAACUACGUGCCAGCAGCCGCGGUAAUACGUAGGGGGCGAGCGUUGUCCGGAAUUACUGGGCGUAAAGGGCACGCAGGCUGUGCUUCAAGUCAGCUGUAAAAGGAUGCGGCUUAACCGUGUUAUGCAGUUGAGACUGAGGUGCUGGAGUACCGGAGAGGCAAGUGGAAUUCCCAGUGUAGCGGUGAAAUGCGUAGAUAUUGGGAAGAACAUCGGUGGCGAAGGCGACUUGCUGGACGGUAACUGACGCUGAGGUGCGAAAGCCAGGGGAGCGAACGGGAUUAGAUACCCCGGUAGUCCUGGCUGUAAACGAUGAAUGCUAGGUGUGCGAGCAGAGAUGUUGGUGUGCCGCAGUUAACGCGAUAAGCAUUCCGCCUGGGGAGUACGGUCGCAAGAUUGAAACUCAAAGGAAUUGACGGGGGCCCCGCACAAGCGGUGGAGCACGUGGUUUAAAUUUCAAUGCAAAACCG